UAGGGAAUCUUCCGCAAUGGACGCAAGUCUGACGGAGCAACGCCGCGUGAGUGAAGAAGGAUUUCGGUUCGUAAAACUCUGUUGUUAGAGAAGAACAGCGCAUAGAGUAACUGUUAUGCGUGUGACGGUAUCUAACCAGAAAGCCACGGCUAACUACGUGCCAGCAGCCGCGGUAAUACGUAGGUGGCAAGCGUUGUCCGGAUUUAUUGGGCGUAAAGCGAGCGCAGGCGGUCAAUUAAGUCUGAUAUGAAAGCCCCCGGCUCAACCGGGGAGGGUCGUUGGAAACUGGUUGACUUGAGUGCAGAGGAGGAGGGUGGAAUUCCAUGUGUAGCGGUGAAAUGCGUAGAUAUAUGGAGGAACACCAGUGGCGAAGGCGACUCUCUGGUCUGUAACUGACGCUGGGGCUCGAAAGCGUGGGUAGCAAACAGG
rnacentral:rRNA from 1 species